rnacentral:rRNA from 1 species
UACGAAAGGUGCAAGCGUUACUCGGAAUCACUGGGCGUAAAGCGCGCGUAGGUCGACUUGUAGGUCGGUUGUGAAAUACCUGGGCUCAACCCGGGAGGGGCAGCCGAAACCACAAGUCUUGAAUACUUGAGAGGGUGGGGGAAUACCUGGUGGAGAAGUGAAAUUCGUAGAGAUCAGGUGGAACACCGGAGGCGAAGGCGCCUGCCUGGCAAUGUAUUGACGCUGAAGUGCGAAAGUGCGGGGAGCAAACAGG